CCUACGGGAGGCAGCAGUGAGGAAUAUUGGUCAAUGGACGCAAGUCUGAACCAGCCAUGCCGCGUGCAGGAAGACGGCUCUAUGAGUUGUAAACUGCUUUUGUACGAGGGUAAAUCCCGAUACGUGUAUCGUGUUGAAUGUAUCGUACGAAUAAGGAUCGGCUAACUCCGUGCCAGCAGCCGCGGUAAUACGGAGGAUUCAAGCGUUAUCCGGAUUUAUUGGGUUUAAAGGGUGCGUAGGCGGUUCGUUAAGUUAGAGGUGAAAUCCCGGGGCUCAACUCCGGCACUGCCUCUGAUACUGUCGGGCUAGAGUUUAGUUGCGGUAGGCGGAAUGUAUGGUGUAGCGGUGAAAUGCAUAGAGAUCAUGCAGAACACCGAUUGCGAAGGCAGCUUACCAAGCUACAUCUGACGUUGAGGCACGAAAGCGUGGGGAGCAAACAGGAUUAGAUACCCGUGUAGUC
rnacentral:rRNA from 1 species